CAAAGCAAUGUGUGCUGGAAUUUGACUCGGGUGAUGCUCUCAACAGCGGGUUUCGUAUGCUUUUCGCUUGUGACCUAAAAGCUGCCGUUUUGUCCGUGCGGAGGUAAAAUGAGCAGCACGGAGAUCCAGAAUUCGGGAGAGGAAUCCUGCUUUCGCCUGGAGCACCUACCGGGCAAGAGUCCGCGCCUAGCGGGCAAGGCGUCUCCGCAGGUGAACAACCGCUGGGAUGCGCCUGAAGUGACGGCCAACGGGGUCCUUGACAUUGAGGAUCGGAUUUUACGAAUCACCGGUUAUUACGGCUAUAACCCCGGAUACUCCAGCCACAGAAGAGAGGAGGGCUCAGAAUCACAUGCAGAGACUCCAGUCAGUGAAACAAGUGGAAAUGGCACUGCAUACCAGACCUGCGCCAACACAGUGCUCAAGGUGCUGGGGGGUUUGCUGGUGGUGCUGUGUGUCUCCUCGUCCUGGGUGGGCACCACACAGGUGGUCCAGCUCACGUUCAAAUCCUUUUCCUGUCCCUUUUUCAUCACAUGGUUCAGCACCAACUGGAACAUUCUCUUCUUCCCCCUCUACUAUUCUGGGCAUGUGGCCACCACCAGAGAAAAACGGACGCCCAUUCAGAAAUUCAGGGAAUGUAGUCGGUUGUUUGGGGAGGACGGAAUGUCUCUGAAGGUGUUUCUGAAGAGAACGGCGCCUUUCUCCAUCUUGUGGACGCUUACUAACUACCUGUACCUGUUAGCACUGAGAAAGCUAACCGCUACAGACGUCUCAGCGCUCUACUGCUGCCACAAGGCCUUUGUCUUCCUCUUGUCGUGGAUUGUCCUCAAGGAUCGCUUCAUGGGUGUGCGGAUUGUGGCUGCCAUUAUGGCUAUCACAGGCAUUGUGAUGAUGGCUUAUGCUGAUGGUUUUCAUGGGGAUUCCUUUAUGGGUGUGGCCUUAGCAGUCGGCUCCGCCUCCACUUCUGCUCUCUACAAGGUGCUGUUUAAGAUGUUCCUCGGCAGUGCUAAUCUGGGCGAGGCUGCUCAUUUCUUCUCCACCAUGGGCUUUUUCAAUCUCAUCUUUAUCUCCUGCGUUCCCCUCAUCCUGUACUUAACCAGAGUGGAGCAUUGGGGUUCCCUCUCCUCUUUGCCCUGGGGUUACCUCUGUGGGGUGGCCGGCCUUUGGCUAGUAUUUAACAUCCUGGUCAAUGUAGGAGUGGUGCUCACGUAUCCUAUUCUCAUAUCCAUUGGGACGUUACUCAGUGUUCCAGGCAAUGCAGCUAUCGAUGUGCUGAAGCAUGAGGUCAUCUUCAGCGUGGUGCGUCUGGCUGCCACCUGCAUCAUCUGCCUGGGCUUCCUGCUGCUGCUGCUCCCUGAGGAGUGGGAUACGGUCACCCUGCGCUUCCUCACCACCCUGGCCGACAAGAAGACGGAGGAGCACGGCGAGGAGCUCACAGAAUCCAGCGUCCACACACGCAGCCGCAGUAGAGCCAACGGAGCCGUAUCCAUCCCCAUGGCAUGACCUUUGACCUGUGAAUGAACAGCCAGCGAUCAACACUGAUCCUCCCUGUGGCAGCCGUUAAGGGAUCUAGCAUUCUCUUCCCUGAGAAGAUACGCAUCCAUUCCAUAGAAAUGGACUUUCAGACUUUCGUCUCCCGCUGCACGACAAACCCUGCACCCCUGAACCCCUCCGCUAGCCCCUUCCCAUGGAAUGUAUUCUGUGAAUAUAGACUCUGUCAGGGCCAGUUCGGCUCACUAUGUACACAUGAAUGCAUUCAGAGAUUGGAUAUAUAUGUAUAUGAUUAUUUGCAUUGUACGUAGUAGUAUAAUACAUG